GUUGAACGCUGGCGGCGUGCCUAACACAUGCAAGUCGAGCGGUAACAGGUGUAGCAAUACAUCCUGACGAGCGGCGGACGGGUGAGCAAUGUUUGGGAAUCUGCCUAUUAGUGGGGGACAACCCGGGGAAACUCGGGCUAAUACCGCAUACGAUCUACGGAUGAAAGCCGGGAACCGCAAGGCUGGGCGCUAAUAGAUGAGCCCAAAUUGGAGUAGCUAGUUGGUGAGGUAACGGCUCACCAAGGCGACGAUCCAUAGCUGGUGUGAGAGAACGACCAGCCACACCGGAACUGAGACACGGUCCGGACUCCUACGGGAGCCAGCAGUGGGGAAUAUUGGACAAUGGGGGCAACCCUGAUCCAGCGACGCCGCGUGGGUGAAGAAGGCCUGCGGGUUGUAAAGCCCUUUCGGUGGGGAUGAAAAGCCUUGGUCUAACUCACCAGGGUCUUGACCUAACCCAAGAAAGAAGCACCGGCUAACUCUGUGCCAGCAGCCGCCGUAAUAC
rnacentral:rRNA from 1 species